rnacentral:pre_miRNA from 1 species
CUAGUACUCCUUUCGUUCGGAAUUACUUGUCGCAGAAAUGGAUAUAUUUAAACGUAUUUUAGUUCUAGAUACAUUCAUUUCCGAGACAAGUAAUUUCGAACGAAGGAAAUAAUGG